CAUGAAUUAUUUUUUUAGAGACCCAUGGACCAUUCUGAUGGAUAGAUCUUUUCAUUUUCAGCGAUGUCGGUCAAGUUCGUACUAUUGUUAUGGCCAUGUUAGACGAUUUGAUUUUAGCAUGUUUUUUGUCUCUUUCUUUCUUUUUGACUAGUUGAGCAACUCUUUCUGACUUAACUACUAGAUUUAAGCGAUAUUUACUUUCUUUCGAUACUUUACCUCAAAAAAAAAACUUUCUUUCGAUACCUUGUCCCUUGCAUCUGGAUUUCACGAGAUUUGUAGAGAAUUUUGGGAAUUGUAGCUCUCAUAUUUAGUUGGCGUAGGUG
rnacentral:lncRNA from 1 species